rnacentral:rRNA from 1 species
UACGUAGGUGGCAAGCGUUGUUCGGAUUUACUGGGCGUAAAGCGCACGUAGGCGGCUUUUUAAGUCAGGGGUGAAAUCCCGGGGCUCAACCCCGGAACUGCCCUUGAAACUGGAGAGCUAGAAUCUUGGAGAGGCGAGUGGAAUUCCGAGUGUAGAGGUGAAAUUCGUAGAUAUUCGGAAGAACACCAGUGGCGAAGGCGACUCGCUGGACAAGUAUUGACGCUGAGGUGCGAAAGCGUGGGGAGCAAACAGG